GGGAAGGCAGGGGCAGGCUCUGCGCCUUGACGCGGAUGCUCUGGGACUCGUUGAUGGCGGUGCUCACGCCCUGCAGCCAGGACAGCAUCUCCUCCUGCGGGGCGGAGGGUCACGGUGGAGUCUGGAGGCCCACAGCCCCCCACCUCCCGGGCCAGGCAACAAUGGUGGGGGCUCUUGGGACUGCCCCUUCUGAGGGGGCCUCCAGGGCAAGCGGCCUGGGGUCCUCCACCUACCCCCUUCUUAGCCAGGUCUGGGCUAGGCUGCCCGCGCUUACCUCAUCCUUGCCAUGGAAGAGCCACUCGCUGCCAUUACUCAGCCUAGGAGGACAAAGGGUUUCCUGUCAUGGAGACACCUCUGGAGGGGGCGCUGGGCAGAGGGCUGGCUCUGAUCCCACAAUACCCUGAGCCGAACAUCCAGACCCCUCUCAGGCAGCCCAGCACUUUCUGAGAGGUCAAAGUCUGGACCAUCAGCCUCUUUGAUUUGAAAAACCCCUGAGGAGCAGCUCAGGCCUGGCACUGGUCCCCUACAGAGGGCCUCUGCCCUGCCACUAAUGCCAAAUCAAGCCAUCAACCCGAGCUUUCAAAGGCCAGGAAGGCCUCACCUCAGCUUAAAGACGUGCUUCUUCUUCUUGUAGUUGGCAGCAAUCUCACAGAUGGCAUGUCUCAGGGCCAGGGGUUCCUCCCCAUGGUAGGGCAUCCCCAGGGCCAGGUUCUUGGCAUCCUUGUAGAAGGUUAGCUCACUGUUCCUGAGCACACAGUACAGGUUGUUCCAGGACCUGCAAAGAUGCAGACAGGCAGGUCACCCACAUCCUGAUAUGGUAUCUCUAGAGUCAAUUCCUAUAGCUUCACCAUUAAAAAAAAUUACACCAUGUUUGUUCUGAUACAUAGUAACAUGUUUUAUUGUUAAAAAAUCAUCUGC
rnacentral:lncRNA from 10 species